UGUAACAAGGUCUCCGUUGGUGAACCAGCGGAGGGAUCAUUACCGAGUUUUCAACUCCCUAACCCUUCUGUGAACCUACCUAUCGUUGCUUCGGCGGACUCGCCCCAGCCCGGACGCGGACUGGACCAGCGGCCCGCCGGGGACCUCAAACUCUUGUAUUCCAGCAUCUUCUGAAUACGCCGCAAGGCAAAACAAAUGAAUCAAAACUUUCAACAACGGAUCUCUUGGCUCUGGCAUCGAUGAAGAACGCAGCGAAACGCGAUAAGUAAUGUGAAUUGCAGAAUCCAGUGAAUCAUCGAAUCUUUGAACGCACAUUGCGCCCGCCAGCAUUCUGGCGGGCAUGCCUGUUCGAGCGUCAUUUCAACCCUCGACCUCCCCUUGGGGAGGUCGGCGUUGGGGACCGGCAGCACACCGCCGGCCCUGAAAUGGAGUGGCGGCCCGUCCGCGGCGACCUCUGCGCAGUAAUACAGCUCGCACCGGAACCCCGACGCGGCCACGCCGUAAAACACCCAACUUCUGAACGUUGACCUCGAAUCAGGUAGGACUACCCGCUGAACUUAAGCAUAUCA
rnacentral:rRNA from 1 species